GACGUAGGGCGCGAGCGUUGUCCGGAUUUAUUGGGCGUAAAGGGUGCGUAGGCGGUCUGACAAGUCUGAUGUGAAAUCUAUGGGCUCAACCCAUAGUCUGCAUCGGAAACUGUCGGGCUGGAGUAUGGGAGAGGUGAGUGGAAUUUCCGGUGUAGCGGUGAAAUGCGUAGAUAUCGGAAGGAACACCUGUGGCGAAAUCGGCUCACUGGACCAUUACUGACGCUGAUGCACGAAAGCUAGGGGAGCAAACAGG
rnacentral:rRNA from 1 species